CACCCGAGUGGUAGAUUCACUGUGUAGGCAACAUGCUUUAGUGACAACCUGGUAGCAUGAGAGUAAGUAAAAAUUUAAAAACAAAUAUACAAAUAUACAAACUCGAGUUGACAGAAAAUGUGCACAGGAAACAAGACAUUAACGUUCGCAAACUGACACUGAGGCGAAGCUAACUAUGAGAAGUCCCACUCGGCGUGACAGGCGCAUGACUGGGACUUUUUCAGCUAAAACAAAAGGGAACAUUUCAAACUGUGAAGUGCUGGGAGGGGAAACCUCAUCUGGCAGCUACUCGAGAGCUACCCACUUAGGAGGGCACCUACCGCCCUUCACACUGAAAUCCCCCCGGUACAACGUCCCCAGGACCUGGAGCAGCUAUGCAGAUGCAUGUCUGCAGGUCACUGUUUCCAGAGCACUCGGGACUGGGUGUCGUAAGCUGUGUGGGCUCUCUGUAGGAAUCCCAGCCCCUAAACUAUUAAAAAGGCUAGAAAGGUGGGGUUAGAGGCCCUGAAAGGUGGCCAUUAUUAUUCUGGGAGAGAGGGAGCGAGACAAGCACCACUUAGUCACUUACAAAUCCUCUUCUGCCUUUGGUUUCUCUGUGUUGUGUGGAGCCAAGGAUGGAAGCCAGAGUCUCAGCCACCAGAUAUGUGCUCUAUUGACCACCCCCCCAGCCCAGAAAGUUGGAUCUUUAAGGGCACCAGUAAGUCUACACUACACACAGCUAGACCCUGGAGGUCCCUGGUGGUUGCGGGGCUCUACCUCUCGAGACAUCCCUUCCUCAUCUGCGGGCGCCAGGGAUCCGCCAUCUGCCUUCCCAAGAUUCUGGGAGGGCAGAUGCAACCGGUUUCAGGCUGUUCAUCCCAGAGGAGCAGCAGGUGCAGGAGCAAAAAGAACUGAGGGGACAAGCCCAGUCCCCACGGGUGUCAGCCCUGGACACGUGAGACGAAACAUGUUUAGCAACUGAUGGCUCAGCUGAGCUUUGUGGCCCAAGAUGGAGAAACCAGAGAGUGAGAGCGGGGCUAGGAGACAGCUCAGCUGGAAGACUGCAGGAUCCCAGUUUGAGCCCCCCGCACCACUGUGGUGUUUUUCCUUCUCUCUGUGUUCCUCUCUCUCUCUCUCUCUCUCUCUCUCUAGCUCAAAAUAAAUAUAAUCUGCUGGAGCAGUGGAAUCAUGUAGGUAUGAAGUCCCAGCAAAAAGAGAAAAAAAUCAAAAGGAAAAGAAAUAAAAGUUCGGAACUGUAACCA